UACAGAGGGUGCAAGCGUUACUCGGAAUGACUGGGCGUAAAGGGUGCGUAGGCGACUUGAUAAGUUAAGUGUGAAAUCCCUGGGCUUAACCUGGGAGAGUCAUUUAAUACUGUUGAGCUAGAGUACAGGAGAGGGUAGUGGAAUUUCCGGUGUAGCGGUGAAAUGCGUAGAGAUCGGAAGGAACACCAGUGGCGAAGGCGGCUACCUGGCCUGAUACUGACGCUGAGGCACGAAAGCAUGGGGAGCAAACAGG
rnacentral:misc_RNA from 1 species